rnacentral:lncRNA from 1 species
AGCCCGGGCCAUCAGCCAGCUGGCCACCAGGAGGUACCAAGCCAGCUGUAGACGGGCUCGAGCUGAGUGGCCAGACUCAGGGAGCAGCAGCAGCUCGGCCCCUGUGUGUGCUAUCUGUCUGGAAGAGUUCACAGAGGGGCAGGAGCUCCGGGUCAUUUCCUGCCUCCACGAGUUUCAUCGAACCUGUGUGGACCCCUGGCUACACCAGCAUCGGACUUGCCCUCUCUGCAUGUUCAACAUCGUAGAGGGAGAUUCAUUUUCCCAAGCCCUGGGAGCUUCUCCAUCCUACCAGGAACCAGGCAGAAGGCUCCACCUCAUUCGCCAACAUCCUGGCCACGCCCACUAUCAUCUCCCUUCUGCCUACCUGCUGGGCCCUUCCAGGAAUUCAGUAGCCCAGACCC